rnacentral:misc_RNA from 1 species
CUGCUUUAUAGACUAAGUCCCAAACUCCGGAGGUUUCAGACACUCGAAUUAGUGGUUGUAGUGAGGACACAAAGGGCCUUAUCCACCAUACAUACACGAUUCCCAUAAGAUCGACUGCAUAUAGAACAAAAUGCCUUUCAAACCCGUUGAGAACCCAAAAUGCCCCAAAUGCAGCAAAUCCGUCUAUGCUGCUGAAGAACGUGUAGCUGGAGGAUACAAAUUCCACAAAUCAUGCUUCAAAUGCGGACUUUGUGGAAAAAUGUUGGACUCCACCAACGUAACAGAACACGAAGCUGAACUCUACUGCAAAAACUGCCACGCCCGCAAAUACGGACCUAAAGGGUACGGAUUCGGUGGUGGUGCUGGAUGUCUCAGUAUGGAUACCGGAGCUCAUCUCCAAGGGGAUGACAUAGUUGUGUCCAGAGCCCCACUUCUGGCUAAAGCCAUUGCAAAGGCCCCUGAAGGAGAAGGUUGCCCCAAAUGUGGCGGCUAUGUCUACGCUGCUGAACAAAUGCUCGCACGUGGCAGAGCCUUCCACAAGUCCUGCUUCAAAUGUGGUGAUUGUUCCAAGAACCUGGACUCCGUUAAUGUAACUGAAGGUCCUGACAAGGAUAUUUAUUGCAAAGCGAUCAAGCUCCCAAAACUACUCUGGUCGAUACUACCACCAUCAAGGCCAAGCCAGGCCAAGGAUGUCCUCGUUGUGGAGGGGUAGUCUUCGCUGCUGAAGAGGUCUUGGCUAAGGGUCGUCAGUGGCAUCGCAAGUGUUUCAAAUGCAAAGACUGUACCAAGACUUUGGAUUCCAUCAACGCUUGUGAUGGACCUGAUAGCGAUGUUUACUGCAGAACCUGUUACGGCAAAAAAUGGGGACCUCACGGAUACGGUUUCGCUUGUGGAUCUGGUUUCCUUCAAACCGACGGCUUAACCGAGGACGAAAUUUCCGCAAGCCGACCCUUCUACAACCCCGACACGACUUCGAUUAAGGCCCCUCCUGGACAAGGUUGCCCGAGAUGUGGAGGAAUGGUCUUUGCUGCCGAACAGCAGCUGGCGAAAGGAACCAUGUGGCACAAGAAAUGCUUCAACUGUGCUGAAUGCCACCGUCCACUGGAUUCAGUUCUUGCCUGCGACGGACCCGACAAGGAAAUCCACUGCCGUGCCUGCUACGGAAAACUUUUCGGACCCAAAGGUUUUGGUUUCGGACACGCCCCCACUCUGGUAUGCUCCGAUGGUGCAGUCGCACCGGCUGUUCAUGACCCUAGACCCAACAGCGGCCCCAAAGCCGCCCCAGGUCAAGGUUGUCGCCGCUGCGGAUACUCC